rnacentral:rRNA from 1 species
CCUACGGGAGGCAGCAGUGAGGAAUAUUGGUCAAUGGCCGGAAGGCUGAACCAGCCAAGCCGCGUGAGGGAGGAAGGCGCAGAGCGUCGCAGACCUCUUUUGCCGGGGGACAAAAGGCCGGACUCGUCCGGUCCUGAGGGUACCCGGAGAAAAAGCAUCGGCUAACUCCGUGCCAGCAGCCGCGGUAAUACGGAGGUGGCAAGCGUUGUCCGGAUUUACUGGGUGUAAAGGGCGUGCAGCCGGAGAGACAAGUCAGAUGUGAAAUCCACGGGCUCAACCCGUGAACUGCAUUUGAAACUGUUUGCCUUGAGUGUCGGAGAGGUAAGCGGAAUUCCUGGUGUAGCGGUGAAAUGCGUAGAUAUUAGGAAGAACACCAGUGGCGAAGGCGGAUUACUGGACGAUAACUGACGGUGAGGCGCGAAAGCGUGGGGAGCAAACAGGAUUAGAUACCCUUGUAGUC